rnacentral:tRNA from 1 species
AUUUAUAUAGUUUAAAUAAAACAUUAUAUUUUCACUGUAAAGAUAAAAUUAUUUUUUUAUAAAUU